AGGGUGGACAUUUGUGGGUUAGCUUGCUAACUNAUAAUGAGAGCGGCGUACGGGUGCGUAACACGUGUGCAACCUGCCUNUAUCUGGGGGAUAGCCUUUCGAAAGGAAGAUUAAUACCCCAUNAUAUAUUGAUUGGCAUCAGUUNAUAUUGAAAGCUCCGGCGGAUAGAGAUGGGCACGCGUAAGAUUAGCUAGUUGGUGAGGUAACGGCUCACCAAGGCUGCGAUCUUUAGGGGGCCUGAGAGGGUGAUCCCCCACACUGGUACUGAGACACGGACCAUGACUCACUACGGGAGGCAGCAGUGAGAGAAUAUUGGACAAUGGGUGAGAGCCUGAUCCAGCCAUCCCGCGUGAAGGACUAAGGACCUAUGGUUUGUAAACUUCUUUUAUACAGGGAUAAACCUACUCUCGUGAGGGUAGCUGAAGGUACUGUAUGAAUAAGCACCGGCUAACUCCGUGCCAGCAGCCGCGGUAAUACGGAGGGUGCAAGCGUUAUCCGGAUUUAUUGGGUUUAAAGGGUCCGUANGCGGGUCGAUNAGUCAGUGGUGAAAGCCUGCAGCUUAACUUGUAGAACUGCCGUUGAUACUGUCAGGUCUUGAGUGUAUUUGAGGU
rnacentral:rRNA from 1 species